rnacentral:rRNA from 1 species
CCUACGGGUGGCAGCAGUCGAGAAUCAUUCACAAUGGGGGAAACCCUGAUGGUGCGACGCCGCGUGGGGGAAUGAAGGUCUUCGGAUUGUAAACCCCUGUCAUGUGGGAGCAAAUUAAAAAGAUAGUACCACAAGAGGAAGAGACGGCUAACUCUGUGCCAGCAGCCGCGGUAAUACAGAGGUCUCAAGCGUUGUUCGGAAUCACUGGGCGUAAAGCGUGCGUAGGCUGUUUCGUAAGUCGUGUGUGAAAGGCGCGGGCUCAACCCGCGGACGGCACAUGAUACUGCGAGACUAGAGUAAGGGAGGGGGAACCGGAAUUCUCGGUGUAGCAGUGAAAUGCGUAGAUAUCGAGAGGAACACUCGUGGCGAAGGCGGGUUCCUGGACAGUAACUGACGCUGAGGCACGAAGGCCAGGGGAGCGAAAGGGAUUAGAUACCCUGGUAGUC